CACACACCAGGGGCCAAGCACCCACUAAGCACCUUAUUUAUUUCAGUUCCAGCCUCAGGACAAUCCCCCCAGAAGCUACCUUGCUGUACCUAUUUAAUGGAUGAAGAAGCUGAGUCGGGGAAAGGGUUCCUAGAAGCCGGCGACGCUGCAACAAGUGGAACCUGCUGUUCGCGAGCCUUGGGCCUGCAGCCACGAGGGAAACCCGAGACAUAGGCAGAAAUGGAAGGCCGCGCACACUUCCGUCCAAGCGUUUGGGACUGUGUUGCUUGACUGUGCCAUUGCUCACAGGUGUACUUGAUUCAUUGAGUCUCAGAAUUUUAAAAAAAUUGUAUCAAAGUGA